rnacentral:piRNA from 1 species
UUCAGGAACUUCUGAUAUCUU